rnacentral:RNase_P_RNA from 1 species
GGCCGCCGGGUCUUUUGACCUGAGGAAAGUCUCCCCACCUUCUAAACACACGAAUGCCUGUGAAGGGCAUCUGGCGAGAGCCUGGGCAGUUGCUUUGCAACUCAUGCGCACGGCGCAUGCUGGCACAGAAACGAUACCGUACCAUGUUAAUGCUAUGAUGCUGAAAAGCUGAGGUCGCAUGGAUCGCGGAUGGAACGGCGAAUCCUCGUGGGUGCAAGUCGGAAGUAGGGGGCAAUGGUUGUUUAGACCAUUCCCGAAGUUUGUGUACGCGUAGCC